rnacentral:rRNA from 1 species
UACGUAGGGGGCUAGCGUUGUCCGGAUUUAUUGGGCGUAAAGGGCGCGUAGGCGGCCAGCGCAAGUCAGUUGUGAAAUCUCCGGGCUUAACUCGGAACGGUCAACUGAUACUGCGCGGCUAGAGUGCGGAAGGGGCAACUGGAAUUCUCGGUGUAGCGGUGAAAUGCGUAGAUAUCGAGAGGAACACCUGCGGCGAAGGCGGGUUGCUGGGCCGACACUGACGCUGAUGCGCGAAAGCCAGGGGAGCGAACGGG